rnacentral:rRNA from 1 species
AUUGAACGCUGGCGGCAGGCCUAACACAUGCAAGUCGAACGAGCGGCGGACGGGUGAGUAAUGUCUGGGAAACUGCCCGAUAGAGGGGGAUAACUACUGGAAACGGUGGCUAAUACCGCAUACCAUCAGAUGAACCCAUAUGGGAUUAGCUAGUUGGUGGGGUAAAGGCUCACCAAGGCGACGAUCCCUAGCUGGUCUGAGAGGCUGACCAGCCACACUGGAACUGUGACACGGCCCAGACUCCUACGGGAGGCAGCAGUGGGGAAUAUUGCACAAUGGGCGCAAGCCUGAUGCAGCCAUGCCGCGUGUAUGAAGAAGGCCUUCGGGUUGUAAAGUACUUUCAGCGGGGAGGCGUUACCCGCAGAAGAAGCACCGGCUAACUCCGUGCCAGCAGCCGCGGUAAUUC